GUUCCAGGGGGUUCCUUUGAAAACUUCCUGCGGUGUCCAGGAGCCGGCAGCCUGCUGCACGCAGGACGCAAUGCCUGCUGAAAUCCCAGAUGAAAAUACAUAAUCCACUUAUGAAAAGGAGGGGGGAUGCAUGGAGUUAGCACAUAUUAAGUGCCUGCUGUAGUCAAGCCCUAUUGGACACCAGGGACAUCUGGACCCUGACAACGGAGCGAAGGGGUGGUCCUGCCUGCACCAGGUUUCAGACUGUGGGUUCCUUCAACAGGGUGAACAUGAGAGAUAGAAGCCACCGGUUUCUCCUGAUAGUGUGUAGAUGGGCAGAUCUGGCCUCAAUGGCAGAAGAUACUUGGGGAACUGGAGAAAGUACAGAGGGAGAUGUGAAAUCAGUUGGGUCAUCAAAAGAAGACGGGUGUACCACAAUUUGUUCCUCCACCUGCUGCCCAUGAACAUUUGGAUGGUUUCUAGUUUUUGGCUAUUACAAGUAAAGUUGUCAUGAACAUUUGCAUACAAA
rnacentral:lncRNA from 1 species